rnacentral:rRNA from 1 species
UACGAGGGGGGCAAGCGUUGUUCGGAAUUAUUGGGCGUAAAGGGCGCGUAGGCGGCGCGGUAUGUCUCUUGUGAAAUCUCCGGGCUCAACUUGGAGUCUGCAAGGGAAACUGCCGUGCUUGAGUACUGGAGAGGUGAGUGGAAUUGCGAGUGUAGAGGUGAAAUUCGUAGAUAUUCGCAAGAACACCAGUGGCGAAGGCGGCUCACUGGCCCGGAACUGACGCUGAGACGCGAAAGCGUGGGGAGCAAACAGG